UUGAUUGAUUCUUCGUAAGUACAUAGAUUGUUUGGGAUUUUUCUGUGUUUCUGUGGAAAAUGAGAGUUUUAGGAAUCGGGUGAGCUGGGUCUAUCAUGAAUUUCACUGUUAUUCUUCUUUCAUUUUCACACAAUUCUUGAAUUACUAGAUUGUUCCUGGCGCAGUCAUAUUGGGCUCCAUUGUUGGAAUAUAUUUGGCUUUCUGGGAUUUCGGCUUCUUUCAUUUUCCCACAAUUCUUGAAGUAUUAGAUUGUUCUUGCACAGUCAUACUGAGCUUCUUUGUUUGAAGAUUUGGCUUUCUGGGAUUUCAGUUUCUUACAUUUUCCCGCAAUUCUUGAAUGACUAGAUUGUUUGUAGUCCUUACUUUGAAGUUGGUGAAUCGGUCUUUCUUUUGUUUUCACCGUAAAUAUUUUUAUUUUUUGGGAUAAUGGAAGAAUCGGAAUAUCUCAGGAAUGCUUCAAUUAUGUCCUCUAGUACUUAGUACAAUUAGGCUCUGUUUGGUAUUCAUAAAUAAAAUGAGAGGAAAACAAAAUGUUUAAUAGUUAGAACUGGAUUUGUUUCUUGAGCAGUGUCUUCCAAUUUGUCUCUACUUUUACAAACCAAAUAGACAGUAAUCGAUUUGGGUCUACUUAACGUUGAAGCUGAACUGUUCCUUAAUAUUAGGAUGGUCAGCUUUCUUCAAUUUUCAGCAUUAAGAUUUGGGGUUUGCUUUAUUCUUGCUCUUCUUUUCUUUGAGUCCUGACUUACUGGGAUUUUAUUAACCAGGCACGAUGAUAGGAUGGAAAAUUCAAAUACAAUGACAAUUGAUUUCCUUCGGGCACGCUUGCUCGCUGAAAGAUCUGUCUCUAGCACUGCAAGACAGAGAGCUGAUGAACUGGCCAAAAGGGUAUUGGAACUGGAGGAACAGCUAACGACUGUCUCUCCAGAGAAAGAAGGCUGAAAAGACAAUAGCAUAUGCUCAUGUUAUUUUGGAGAACCAUGGGAUGAGUGGGUUCUCCGACAAAUUUGACUCGAGCUCUGACCAUAAAGUGAUCCAUUGCGAGUCUAAAGUGAGUAAUAAUUCUGCAGAGGAGGAGGAGGAGGAAGAGGAGGAGGGAAGCUUGGUUGGUUCAAAGAUGAGGAGGAAUCACACUGAUGAAUUCUCUGGUUCGGAGCCUGAGUCUUCUCCUUUACCUCGUAGAAGCUUGUCUUGGAAAAGUGGCAAAGAUUCUUCAUGCUCACGUGAAAAGAAGUAUACAGAUUCUUCCACUAGAAGCCGAAGCACUUUUGCAUCCACCACAUCUGCUUCAC